rnacentral:rRNA from 1 species
UACGAAGGGGGGCUAGCGUUGCUCGGAAUCACUGGGCGUAAAGGCGCGUAGGCGGCCGAUCAAGUCAGGGGUGAAAGCCUGUGGCUCAACCACAGAAUUGCCUUUGAUACUGUUCGGCUCGAGACCGGAAGAGGUAAGUGGAACUGCGAGUGUAGAGGUGAAAUUCGUAGAUAUUCGCAAGAACACCAGUGGCGAAGGCGGCUUACUGGUCCGGCUCUGACGCUGAGGCGCGAAAACGUGGGGAGCAAACAGG